GACGAACGCUGGCGGCGUGCCUAAUACAUGCAGGUAGAACGCUGAAGGAGGAGCUUGCUUCUCUGGAUGAGUUGCGAACGGGUGAGUAACGCGUAGGUAACCUGCCUGGUAGCGGGGGAUAACUAUUGGAAACGAUAGCUAAUACCGCAUAAUAUUGACUAUUGCAUGAUAGUCAGUUGAAAGGUGCAACUGCACCACUACCAGAUGGACCUGCGUUGUAUUAGCUAGUUGGUGGGGUAACGGCUCACCAAGGCGACGAUACAUAGCCGACCUGAGAGGGUGAUCGGCCACACUGGGACUGAGACACGGCCCAGACUCCUACGGGAGGCAGCAGUAGGGAAUCUUCGGCAAUGGACGGAAGUCUGACCGAGCAACGCCGCGUGAGUGAAGAAGGUUUUCGGAUCGUAAAGCUCUGUUGUAAGAGAAGAACGAGUGUGAGAGUGGAAAGCUCACACUGUGACGGUAUCUUACCAGAAAGGGACGGCUAACUACGUG
rnacentral:rRNA from 1 species